GGCGAGGGACCGAUAGCGAACAAGUACCGUGAGGGAAAGAUGAAAAGAACUUUGAAAAGAGAGUUAAACAGUACGUGAAAUUGUCGAAAGGGAGACGAUUGAAGUCAGUCAUACCCACGGGGAAUCNACCCUUNGGGUGUGUUNUUCCGGGUUUCGNNGGGUUUAAAAGCCUUCNGAUUUGGNAGGAUUGGGUCUUUUGGUGUACUUUAUCG
rnacentral:rRNA from 1 species